CCCACCUGAAUCCAUGCCGAACUCAGAAGUGAAACGCAGCAGCGCCGAUGGUAGUGUGGGGUCUCCCCAUGUGAGAGUAGGACAUCGCCAAGC
rnacentral:rRNA from 1 species